rnacentral:rRNA from 1 species
GUACACUCCUGCGGGAGGCAGCAGUGGGGAAUUUUGGACAAUGGGCGAAAGCCUGAUCCAGCAAUGCCGCGUGUGUGAAGAAGGCCUUCGGGUUGUAAAGCACUUUUGUCCGGAAAGAAAUCCUUGGCUCUAAUACAGUCGGGGGAUGACGGUACCGGAAGAAUAAGCACCGGCUAACUACGUGCCAGCAGCCGCGGUAAUACGUAGGGUGCGAGCGUUAAUCGGAAUUACUGGGCGUAAAGCGUGCGCAGGCGGUUUGCUAAGACCGAUGUGAAAUCCCCGGGCUCAACCUGGGAACUGCAUUGGUGACUGGCAGGCUAGAGUAUGGCAGAGGGGGGUAGAAUUCCACGUGUAGCAGUGAAAUGCGUAGAGAUGUGGAGGAAUACCGAUGGCGAAGGCAGCCCCCUGGGCCAAUACUGACGCUCAUGCACGAAAGCGUGGGGAGCAAACAGGAUUAGAAACCCGGGUAGUCCCA